GACGAACGCUGGCGGCGUGCUUAACACAUGCAAGUCGAACGGAAAGGCCCUGCUUUUGUGGGGUGCUCGAGUGGCGAACGGGUGAGUAACACGUGAGUAACCUGCCCUUGACUUUGGGAUAACUUCAGGAAACUGGGGCUAAUACCGGAUAGGAGCUCCUGCUGCUUGGUGGGGGUUGGAAAGUUUCGGCGGUUGGGGAUGGACUCGCGGCGUAUCAGCUUGUUGGUGGGGUAGUGGCUUACCAAGGCUUUGACGGGUAGCCGGCCUGAGAGGGUGACCGGCCACAUUGGGACUGAGAUACGGCCCAGACUCCUACGGGAGGCAGCAGUGGGGAAUAUUGCACAAUGGGCGGAAGCCUGAUGCAGCAACGCCGCGUGCGGGAUGACGGCCUUAGGGUUGUAAACCGCUUUCGCCUGUGACGAAGCGUGAGUGACGGUAAUGGGUAAAGAAGCACCGGCUAACUACGUG
rnacentral:rRNA from 1 species